rnacentral:rRNA from 1 species
AGGAGGCAGCAGUGGGGAAUAUUGGACAAUGGGCGAAAGCCUGAUCCAGCAAUGCCGCGUGAGUGAUGAAGGCCUUAGGGUUGUAAAGCUCUUUUACCAGGGAUGAUAAUGACAGUACCUGGAGAAUAAGCUCCGGCUAACUCCGUGCCAGCAGCCGCGGUAAUACGGAGGGAGCUAGCGUUGUUCGGAAUUACUGGGCGUAAAGCGCGCGUAGGCGGUUUUUCAAGUCAGAGGUGAAAGCCCGGAGCUCAACUCCGGAACUGCCUUUGAAACUGGAUUACUUGAAUCUUGGAGAGGUCAGUGGAAUUCCGAGUGUAGAGGUGAAAUUCGUAGAUAUUCGGAAGAACACCAGUGGCGAAGGCGACUGACUGGACAAGUAUUGACGCUGAGGUGCGAAAGCGUGGGGAGCAAACAGGAUUAGAAACCCCUGUAGUCCG